AAGUCGUAACAAGGUUUCCGUAGGUGAACCUGCGGAAGGAUCAUUAACACGUAUAUCCACGUAUCAAACCCUUCGUGCUCUCUGUGACCAAAUCCUGUCUUUUUUCUUGAUUGUGCUUGGAGCUUUGCUUUUGGGACUUUUCGUUAUGACCGCCAGUUGGAGUACUAGUCGCAAGACUGAGAAAGCGCUGGUAAGGGGAAACGGAGAGUGGGAAGAGCGAGGUGAAGAGUGCGAGAGAGAGAAGAGAUGGGUGCCUUUGUUCAUUUCCCUUUUUGGGGGGAAUGAGCGAACGGUUAUUAACCCUUUUAAACCCCUUUUACCAUUUCUUCUGAAUAUGUAUGAUUGCUGGAAACGGCUCUCAUAUGACUUACGAAACGUAAGAACAACUCUUAACAACGGAUAUCUUGGCUCUG
rnacentral:misc_RNA from 1 species